rnacentral:tRNA from 1 species
GGAAAGCUGCCAGAGUGGUCGAAUGGGCCGCACUCGAAAUGCGGUGAACGGGUAACUGUUCCGGGGGUUCGAAUCCCUCGAUCUCUUC